GCGGGAGUGCCGGAGUGGUCAAACGGGCAUGGCUAAGGUCCAUGUGGCUUAGUGCCUACGCAGGUUCGAAUCCUGUCUUCCGCA
rnacentral:tRNA from 1 species